AGCUUAACACAUGCAAGUCGAACGGUAACUCUUGGUGCUUGCACCAAAAGACGAGUGGCGGACGGGUGCGUAACGCGUAUGCAAUCUACCUUUUACUAGGGUAUAGCCCAGAGAAAUUUGGAUUAAUCCCCUAUAAUAUCAUGAAAUCGCAUGGUUUUAUGAUUAAAGCUUCGGUGGUAGAAGAUGAGCAUGCGUCCUAUUAGUUUGUAGGUGAGGUAACGGCUCACCUAGACUACGAUAGGUAGGGGCCCUGAGAGGGGGAUCCCCCACACUGGUACUGAGACACGGACCAGACUCCUACGGGAGGCAGCAGUGAGGAAUAUUGGACAAUGGACGAAAGUCUGAUCCAGCUAUGCCGCGUGCAGGAUGACAGCCCUACGGGUUGUAAACUGCUUUUAUACAGGAAGAAAAACCCCGACGUGUCGGGGCUUGACGGUACUGUAAGAAUAAGGAUCGGC
rnacentral:rRNA from 1 species